rnacentral:rRNA from 1 species
GAUAAACGCUGGCGGCGCACAUAAGACAUGCAAGUCGAACGAACUUAACCUUAAUAUUUAUAUUUAGGAGCGGUUAGUGGCGGACUGGUGAGUAACACGUAAGCAAUCUGCCUAUCAGAGGGGAAUAACAGUGAGAAAUCAUUGCUAAUACCGCAUAUGCUCACAGAACCACAUGGUUCAGUGAGGAAAGGAGUAAUCCACUGAUAGAUGAGCUUGCGCCUGAUUAGCUAGUUGGUGAGGUAAUGGCUUACCAAGGCGACGAUCAGUAGCCGGACUGAGAGGUUGAACGGCCACAUUGGGACUGAGAUACGGCCCAGACUCCUACGGGAGGCAGCAGUCGGGAAUAUUGCGCAAUGGAGGAAACUCUGACGCAGUGACGCCGCGUAUGGGAAGAAGGUUUUCGGAUUGUAAACCAUUUUAGACAGGGAAGAAAAAUGACAGUACCUGUAGAAUAAGCUCCGGCUAACUACGUGCCAGCCGCCGCAGUAAGA